GGGGAAUAUUGCGCAAUGGAGGGAACUCUGACGCAGCAACGCCGCGUGAAGGAAGAAGGCCUUCGGGUUGUAAACUUCUUUGAUCGGGGACGAAGAUGACGGUACCCGAGGAACAAGCCACGGCUAACUACGUGCCAGCAGCCGCGGUAAUACGUAGGUGGCGAGCGUUGUCCGGAAUUACUGGGUGUAAAGGGCGUGUAGGCGGGGGAGCAAGUCAGAUGUGAAAGCCCAUGGCUUAACUGUGGAAUUGCAUCUGAAACUGUUCUUCUUGAGUGCUGGAGAGGAAAGUGGAAUUCCUAGUGUAGCGGUGAAAUGCGUAGAGAUUAGGAGGAACACCAGUGGCGAAGGCGGCUUUCUGGACAGUAACUGACGCUGAGGCGCGAAAGCGUGGGGAGCAAAC
rnacentral:rRNA from 1 species